GCAGCGCUGCCGCCGCCGCCGCCGCUGCAGCCGGAGUUGGAGGAGGGAGAAGCCAGGAAGAAAAUGGCGGCCGUGGCUGCAGAGGCGGCAGCGACUGCAGCGUCCCCCGGGGAGGGGGGCGCCGGCGAGGCCGAGCCGGAGAUGGAGCCCAUCCCCGGCAGUGAGGCCGGCACUGACCCCCUCCCGGUCACGGCCACUGAAGCGUCUGUGCCGGAUGGCGAGACCGACGGGCAGCAGUCCGCUCCUCAGGCCGACGAACCGCCGCUCCCGCCGCCACCGCCGCCGCCGGGGGAGCUCGCCCGCAGCCCAGAGGCGGCGGGGCCGGAGCUGGAGGCUGAGGAGAAACUGUCCGUUCGGGUGGCGGAGUCGGCUGCAGCCGCGCCUCAGGGAGGGCCCCAACUUCCACCUUCUCCAGCAUCGCCACCGGAGCAGCCCCCGGCACCCGAGGAGCGCGAGGAGCCGCCGCUGCCUCAGCCCGUAGCCCCGGCGCUCGUGCCGCCGGCGGGCGGGGUUUCCACGGUGUCGCAACUGAUCCCGGGCUCGGAGGUGCGGGUCACGCUGGACCACAUCAUUGAGGACGCGCUCGUCGUGUCGUUCCGCCUCGGGGAGAAGCUCUUCUCCGGGGUCCUCAUGGAUCUGUCCAAAAGGUUUGGGCCCCAUGGUAUCCCUGUGACAGUAUUUCCCAAAAGGGAAUAUAAGGAUAAACCAGAAGCCAUGCAGCUCCAAAGUAAUACAUUCCAAGAAGGGACAGAAGUCAAGUGUGAAGCAAAUGGUGCUGUUCCUGAUGACCCUUCUCCUGUCCCGCAUCCCGAGCUGAGUUUGGCUGAAAGCCUGUGGACUUCCAAACCACCACCUCUCUUCCAUGAAGGAGCACCUUAUCCUCCCCCUUUGUUUAUCAGGGACACAUAUAACCAAUCAAUACCUCAGCCACCUCCUCGGAAAAUUAAGCGACCCAAACGAAAAAUGUACAGGGAAGAACCCACUUCAAUAAUGAAUGCUAUUAAACUACGACCCAGGCAAGUUCUGUGUGAUAAAUGUAAAAACAGUGUUGUUGCUGAAAAAAAGGAAAUUAGAAAAGGUAGUAGUGCAAGUGACUCUUCUAAAUAUGAAGAUAAAAAACGGAGAAAUGAAAGUGUAACUACUGUGAACAAAAAACUGAAAACUGACCAUAAAGUGGAUGGGAAAAACCAAAAUGAAAGCCAGAAAAGAAAUGCUGUGGUUAAGGUUUCAAAUAUUGCUCACAGCAGAGGCAGAGUCGUAAAAGUUUCUGCUCAGGCAAAUACAUCAAAAGCUCAGUUAAGUACUAAAAAAGUUCUCCAGAGUAAGAACAUGGAUCAUGUGAAAGCUCGGGAAGUGUUAAAAAUUGCCAAAGAAAAGGCACAAAAGAAGCAAAAUGAAACCUCUACUUCCAAAAACGCACAUUCAAAAGUCCAUUUCACACGUCGAUAUCAGAAUCCUAGCUCAGGUUCCCUUCCACCCCGGGUUCGUUUAAAACCACAGAGGUACAGGAAUGAAGAAAAUGACUCUUCUCUGAAGACAGGACUUGAGAAAAUGCGGAGUGGCAAGAUGGCACCCAAGCCCCAGUCUCGCUGCACCUCUACCCGCUCAGCAGGUGAGGCCCCUUCAGAAAAUCAGAGUCCCUCAAAAGGCCCUGAAGAGGCCAGCAGUGAGGUUCAGGACACAAAUGAAGUGCAUGUGCCUGGUGAGCAGGAUGAACCACAGACAUUGGGCAAAAAGGGCAGCAAAAACAAUAUCUCUGUUUAUAUGACCCUAAAUCAAAAGAAAUCUGACUCUUCCAGUGCUUCAGUGUGUAGCAUUGAUAGCACAGAUGAUUUGAAAUCUUCCAACUCUGAGUGUAGUUCUUCUGAAAGCUUUGAUUUUCCUCCAGGCAGUAUGCAUGCACCUUCCACCUCCUCCACUUCCUCCUCUUCAAAGGAAGAGAAAAAGCUCAGUAAUUCCUUGAAAAUGAAAGUCUUUUCCAAAAACGUCUCUAAAUGCGUCACACCAGAUGGCAGGACCAUAUGUGUAGGGGACAUUGUUUGGGCCAAGAUAUAUGGCUUCCCUUGGUGGCCAGCCCGUAUUCUUACUAUAACUGUGAGCCGGAAAGAUAACGGCCUUUUAGUCCGACAGGAGGCCCGUAUUUCAUGGUUUGGGUCUCCAACAACAUCUUUCCUUGCUCUUUCACAACUCUCCCCCUUUUUAGAAAACUUCCAGUCACGCUUUAAUAAGAAGAGAAAGGGCCUGUAUCGCAAGGCUAUCACAGAGGCAGCUAAGGCUGCCAAGCAGCUGACCCCCGAAGUGCGGGCUUUGUUGACACAGUUUGAAACGUGAACAUGGACAGUAAGCACAAAGACAUUAGCAGGCUGCUGGUUUCAUGGACCUGUACCACAAUGACACAGAGAACACCAGAGCAUCAGGACUGAAUGAAAUUGGAGUUUUUAAAGCUGCACUAAGAAGUAAAUGUUAAGGCAGUGGUUAAAAACAAGUCUAUAAAGGGGCACUUGCAAAUUGUCCUAUCUUAAACCGAAGAAAAGGUAUUAGGGAAUAUUUUUAAAAAAAUAAACUAUUGCAAUAAAUCAUGCAUGAGAUGAGGAGAAAAAUGAUGUGAAUUACACACACAAGAACUCACUUGAAUUUUAUGUAUGAAGAAACACUGACAGUAAAUUCUUUUGAAUGUGAAGUUCUUAUCAGUACAGUUUGGACAGGCCUAAAAGACAUGGGAUGAUGCAGAAAUGCUGAAUUAUUUUUCAUACUUAAACUUUGUGCUUUCUCCAAGGUUUAGGUUAAUCAGUUCAGAUACAAGCAAAGGUAUUUCUAAAAUGGCUCUUCUAUGAAACAGCAAUAGUCACAUAUGCCAAGGCCAAUGUUUCCUUCAGGGUGCCAGUAGAAACAACAGAAAAUAACAUUCUGCUGAAAGGAUGGCAAAGUGCCCCACCCCACCCCACAAACAAAAUUUGGAUCUUUUCCUUCUUUAAUAAAGCAGGGCUGUAUUAUCUUGAAUAUAUGUUUGCUUGUUAGAACAUAUUAAGAUAUAUUUAUUUGCCACUAGUAUUUAACAUUUUGUGCACAUUUUCAUAAUUACAUUCUUACCUUUCAAAUUUUGACUCAAAGAGGAUAGGCUAGUGUUGAUCUUGGAGUGCAAAUGUAUACUCCAAGAGCUAGUUCUUAAUUCUGCUGGGUUGGAAAGCCUUUUAUUAUUGUCUGUAUCCUUACUGGUUUUAUCUAGUUCAAAAAAGGUGACAGCGUCUAAAUUUUGAUGUGAACCUCUCUCCAGAAAGCCCCUCCUAAGUGCAAGAAAUUCUAACAGGUGUCAGUAGGACUUGGCCCUGGGGGACAAGUGGCAGGAACAGGAUUCUUUAAAACAGUGUCAAACUUUUCAUGCAUGGAGCAUGAAUUCUUACUAAUAGAGACUGUAAUUUUUUUCUUGUCUUUGGUAAAUAUUAUAAAAAACCUUAAUUUUUCUUUUUUAAUGAAUGGAGAAAACAUGAGAAAACCAGAUGGACCUGUUAGUACUACAUUUUUAAGGCAUUUUAUAUUUGAUGGUGCCGUACUUUUAAUAAUAAUAAAACUGAAGUUUUUUAGUGGCAAUACCGAUUUAUUUUUUAAACCAGAAAGAUAAUCCAUAUUGAUUACUUAUUACAAAAAAGGGAAAAUAUGCCAAAAAAUAAAAACCCUUAAAAUUCAUAUGAAGCAACAUAACAGGUAACUGAGCACUUGGCUCAAGUAGUCAGACUUUCCAUAAUGUUACUGUGUAAGUUUGGAAUUACCUAAUAACCCCAGACUCAGGAUUACCAAAGGGUUCUGGGUGAGUUUGAAAACAUUUAAUACACCUAUGAUUUGUUUUACAACUUGAAGAGGCAGGCAGUCUUGUGUCUAAUGAGCUUAAUGCAAAUUCUAAUUAUACUGCAAAUAAUUUGAAGUUUUUAUUGCAUUCUACAAUUGUCUGUUUGGAAAAUUACAUAUUAUGAAGUCAUUAUAUAUUUUAUCAAGUCAGAAAAAAAUCAGCUCAGGAACUGUAGCAGCAGGGAGUUCUAAAGAUGACAUGAACUAUACUAUAGGGGUGCCCUACUCUAUAUGGCCUAGGGCUUUGGUUUGGGUCAGUCUUGUUCUUUCAGAUACAUAACACCAGCAGUACCUUUCAGGCUCACUUCAGGAACCAGAUAACUCCCAAACCAUGGUGGAAUUAUACAUGAAUUGUAUAAUCAAGAUUUUUAAUUAAGCUUUAGAAUUCUUUAUUUGUGUAGAGUAAUGGAAAUGACCAAGAAGUAAUAAUAUAAAGCAAAAUAAUUGGGAGAGAUCAGGUUAUAAGUAUAUAAAUUUUUUUUCCUCUCAUGGCAUAUUCUCAAAGGUGUUCUGUUGCAAACCAGAUUUUCAUUUUUUAAAAAAUGAAACUUGGUGGUAUUUAAAAUCUAGACCUACCAUGUUGCUAUUUCACUUUCAUUGCUUUAGUUGCUUAAUAUUUAAGCUUUGCUUCAUGCUACCUUUUGUCUGUACUUCAAUCUUCAUAAGCCUAUUUUGUUUUGUAGACUUGAAUGAUAAAAAUUGUUUCUCAUCUUAAGUAUGCUCAGAGUUUUAAAUGUUAAAGAAUGUUGUGUAACCUUUAUCCAAUAAAGUCUUUGAUUUUUUAAAAAUUUAGUUAUUUAAAAACUAUGUUUACUUUUUAGGAGUUAGUUUUUAAAAUUUUUUUUUUUUUUUUUUUUGCUAUUAAAAUUCAAUCACUGGCUGUACUUUAGGGAGCUGUUUUGAGUAGCAGUGCUUCCUAAGGAGAACAACCUGCAGGAGAUUUUAUGGGACCUCUUUAUGACCAAAGAUAGAGAAAGGGUGAACAGUUUAAUUAGGACCCUGUGCACAAACAUAACUGCUUUUUGACAGAAACAACCUACCCUUCAGCGUUGGAUGUAAUUACAUGCCUGCUGCUGGGUUUGUCUUGUUUUCCUUUGUUUUAAUUUUAAGGAAUCCUGCCCUUAUGGACAGAUGGUCGCUUCUUGAACAGCCCAGCACAUUCAGUGAGAGGUCGAGGGUUUGGCCUAGGAAUCAGAAACACUUGGUUAUCAGGAGAAAUGAGCCUUUUCAAACCUACAGACAGUUCACAGGACUGGCCCAGCAACUUAGGUCAAUGUACUUUCUUUUCUGUUUCAGAAAGGCAAUCCUUUGGCUGCCUGUUAUUCCAGAGUACAUGAAGGCUUUAAUCUCAAACAUUCUCCCAUUUCAGUUUAUCUAAAUGAGUAUGAAAAAGAGACCACAGGAAUCUGGCUCUGCUAAUAUCUUUUUUCUCUCAAACGUCUCACUAAUGAAAAUGGAACAGAGAGAACCAGGGAAGAUUAACAACCCAUGUGCUCAUUAUCUGAGAGGGCCUACAGGAGACUCACACUGAUCCUGGUCAUGUAUAUCAGUAUAUUUAUAGACAUGACUCCUACAGGAUGCAGGGAAUGAGUGAUGCAACCCACAGAUGCAACUGAAAAUCUUACUGAUGCUGGCCUUCACAUAAGAAAGCGUCUGCUUCCAGUGGAGGUGAGAAUGGGGGUAGACGAAAAGAGAAAUCCCUAAUCAUCAGAGGCACAGGCUCCUUCCCACUUCCUAGCAGCUUUUCUCACUCUGAGACCUCCCAUCUUAGAGUAAAGCCCAGGGGACACAGUGGCUGCACUCUAAAAUCCAUCAGCAUGUUCCUGCAGAGGCCACCCUUCCCACCUGCGGCUUCCAGCCAGCGCCUGAGCAUGCGAGGGGCAGGCCAGGGACUCGUCUGAGGGGCAGCGCUGGCUCCCCAGUGGCUUUGUUGAAACUUUCUCAACACCACACUCCAGUGGAAAACUCCCCCUCCCCCGCUCCUCCUCCUCCACAGGGGUCUGCCAGCUCUGCCAACAUCCUCCAGCUCCCAGCCCCAUAUUCCCUUACAGGUGUUUCCCCCAAUAAAUCUCUUGUACUUUUAAUCCUAUCUUGGCAUCUGUUUUUUGGAUGAUCCAGACUAACACAUAGAUAAUUAUUCUUUUUCCUUCAAUUCCAGUAUCUCUGCCUUUAUAACAUUCCACAUUAAUUUCACCAACCAUCACUUACAGGAAAAAAAAAAAGAAAAGAAAAUGCAAAAUUCUGCUUUCUAAACAAGACUACAUAUAUAUAAUACCUGGCAGGUAGCAGGUAUGUAAUAAAAGACACACAAAUAGUCUCUGCAUUAGAGAAGACCUAAGGUCACCUGAUACAGAUUAAUUCAACCAACAUGUACUCAUUACAUGUGUGUGGCACCUUGCUGUGUGUAGCAGAGAUGCAGAGAUACAUGACAUGGUCUAUACACCAAAACAAGUUUAGAAUUUGACAA